GCUGGGCAUGGUGGCUCAUGCCUAUAGUCCCAGCUACUCAGGAAGCUGAGGCAGGAGGAUUGCUUGAGCCUAGGAGUUCAGGACCAGCCUGAGCAACAUAGCAAGACCAUGUCUCUACAAAAAAAAUGAAAAAAAUAGCCAAGCGUGGUUGUGUGCUCCUGUAAUCCCAGCUACUCAGGACACUGAGGGUGGCGUGGGGAAGAUCCCUUGAGCCCAGGAGUUUGAAACCAGCCUGGACAACAUAGCAAGACCCUGUCUCU
rnacentral:sRNA from 1 species